rnacentral:rRNA from 1 species
CCCUUAGACGUUCUGGGCCGCACGCGCGCUACACUGACCAGUGCAACAAGCAUCCGUCCUUGGCCGACAGGCCCGGGCAAUCUUUGAACGCUGAUCGUGAUGGGGAUAGACUUUUGCAAUUUUUGGUCUUCAACGAGGAAUUCCUAGUAAACGCAAGUCAUCAACUUGCAUUGAUUACGUCCCUGCCCUUUGUACACACCGCCCGUCGCACCUACCGAUUGAAUGGUCCGGUGAAGCCUCCGGAUUGGCGUGCACCCUCGGGUGCUGCCGAGAAGUUGGCUAAACCUUACCAUUUAGAGGAAGGUGAANUCGUAACA